rnacentral:rRNA from 1 species
GCACAAGCGGUGGAGCAUGUGGUUCAAUUCGACGCAACGCGCAGAACCUUACCUGGGCUAGACAACAUCGGACAGUCCUAGAGAUAGGAUCUUCCCUUCGGGGACCGGUGGUUCAGGUGCUGCAUGGCUGUCGUCAGCUCGUGUCGUGAGAUGUUGGGUUAAGUCCCGCAACGAGCGCAACCCUUUCCUUUAGUUGCCAUCAGGUAAAGCUGGGCACUCUAAAGGGACUGCCGGCGUUAAGCAGGAGGAAGGUGGGGAUGACGUCAAGUCCUCAUGGCCCUUAUGUCCAGGGCUACACACGUGCUACAAUGGACGGUACAAAGGGCAGCAAACCCGCGAGGGGGAGCCAAUCCCAAAAAGCCGUUCUCAGUUCGGAUUGGAGUCUGCAACUCGACUCCAUGAAGUUGAAUCGCUAGUAUC